AUUGUAUUCAUGUAUGGUUAUACAUGAACCUCCCUGUUGGACUGGCCCCGGCACUCUCGCCGGGGCUUUUUU
rnacentral:ncRNA from 1 species